CGGGAAGUAGCUCAGCUUGGUAGAGCACUUGGUUUGGGACCAAGGGGUCGUAGGUUCAAAUCCUGUCUUCCCGA
rnacentral:tRNA from 3 species